UACGUAGGGUGCGAGCGUUAAUCGGAAUUACUGGGCGUAAAGCGUGCGCAGGCGGUUUUGUAAGCCAGAUGUGAAAUCCCCGGGCUUAACCUGGGAAUGGCAUUUGGGACUGCAAGGCUGGAGUGCGGCAGAGGAGACUGGAAUUCCUGGUGUAGCAGUGAAAUGCGCAGAUAUCGGGAGGAACACCAGUAGCGAAGGCGGCACUCUGGGCCGGUACUGACGGCUGAGGAGCGAAAGCGUGGGGAGCAAACAGG
rnacentral:rRNA from 1 species